GGGGUGUAGGGGUGUUGGGUCAGGCGAGGUGGCCCGGCACGGAGAAUGCACUGCAGGCAGUGGGGUGGGGGGCGACGAAACCAAGAGGGAAGUUGGAGACAGCACCGAGGAGGGACAGCGGGGAGACCUGGACGGGGAGAAGUUGUCGCGAGGAAGGUGGUGGAGAGCCGCGCAGAGACGCUCACUGCGUGAAGGCCUGCAAGAAAGGAGUGCACCACUUAGAAGUCCAGAGAUCCCAUAAGGAGAUAUCUCCUCAAGGAAGCUUCUCUUGGGACUUGCAAACUGAAUUUGCUGUGAGAAAAGAGGACCGUUACAAGGCCCCAGUGGCCCUCCUAUCACCAGUCAUGUUCCCUGGGAGAAGCAAGCCUAAGCCACGCCUGUCUCUUAUCUGAACACCAUAAGCCGAGGAACAUUUGGGACUACCAGAGCUCAAAGAGGCAAAGAAGAAUCCUCCUUUAGUGACUUCAAACAGAACAAAGUCCUGCACCUUGAUUUUGUAUUAUGAACCCUAAGAACCAUGAGAGAAUAAAUUUCUGUUGCUUUAAGCCACCUUUUAUGGUACUUCAUUACAGCAGACCCAGGAAAUUAAUACGCUGUCACCCCAAGGCUCUGAUGCUGUACUGUUAGAGCCACUAUUUUGUAGAUGAGGAAACCAACAGAUUACUAGAGAUUAAGCAUGGAAAAGGAGCAUCCAGGUAAACUAACCUUUUGGAGUGCUACCCAAAC
rnacentral:lncRNA from 1 species